UAAGAUCAACCAUUGUUCAUUCUACUAAGUACGUUAAACCCGUAAAAUAAAUAAUAUUCCCCAUAGUCAAAAUCUAGGCUCAUUUCCCGCACCACUCUUCGCACUCCAAGCCCUCCACGCGAGGGUAAUAAAUUAAUUUUCCUCCUAGCUUGUGGCCAACCUAGCUGUCCCGGCCAGCAACUCGACGUGAACCAACAAGUAUUUCCCCCAGUCACUCGCUGCCUCCCUUAAAAAUCCCCCCGCUGGGGCUCCAAAAGUGUACAAAUGUCCAUAAAUAACGUUUAUUGCUAUUUAGAGGAAAAUCCUGAAUCAGAUUAAUCCUUUUCUCUCCCCUCCCCUGACGUUCAAAGCUCAAUUACAGCUUUUUCGUGCCAUUUCCCCUUUUUUGCCGAAAGCUCGUCUUGUUUUAGCAAGUAGAUUUCCAGUGUGGUCGUCCGUUUUUUUCUUCACCCAGCCUUAAUUUCAAAUGCAAAGAAAAUGUAAAUUCAGCCAACUCCCCACCGACCAACCGCCGUCUGGGUGGAUAUUAAAACAAACAGAUCUCGGCGUUAGUUUCCUGCGGGAAAUGCUAUUGUUUUCAUGUACCAUUUUCCCGGGUUGGAAAACAUGUACUGCUGCCAACCGAGCCGGAAGCGGGAUACACCGGCGAUUCCGUUUGAGGAUUUACCAUGGAAAUAAAUUUUACUCGGGAGUGCUGGAUGGUAUUUUAGAAUGGUUGAAGUGCGCACUUAUUGAAGAUCAUUACAUUCUAGGAAUUGUGUUAAGAAAACAGGAUGAAAAGAAAUGUUCAAUGUUCAAAAAAUAAAUCUUUCCAGGUUUUUUAUUUUGAAAAAAAUGAAACAAUUAUGAAAUCUUCUAAAAAAAAAAUUAAUGAUCAUUUUUUUGCGGACAUAAAAAGUCAAAACAAACAAACUAUUUAUAUAUUUGCUAUGCAUCGCUCAUAAAAAUCUCUACUAUCAUCUGAAUAUCCAAAAACUUACUAUGUCAAAUAAAGUUUUUAACAAUUUAAUUUAAAAUUAUUUACUUUCAUUGGCUGUGAUAUAUUUUUCCGAGAUAAAUCCAUCAUUAUUUUUUUAAUAAAAGUUGCAGAAACAUAUGAACCUGAAGAAAUCAACAACAUUAUCUAAAAAACACUGUAUUUAACAUUUAAAAUUAUAUUCUUAUCAAAAUUAUUUAUCCUAGAAAUCACAAGCUCCUCACAAUCACUCGAAAACCUGUUUGCAUCAAUAAUCGAUUUAUUACUUUCUUUUCUUGCUUCCUUUACUAAUAUCAAAUUUCUCAUUAUAGUUCUUGUUACAUAUAUUAGAUAUCCAUAAAAUAAAGUUUUACAUAAUAAUAAAUAUAUAACCAUUUUUAUCAAUAAAAGAAUGUUUCAUAAACCAUAUUUCUAGCUUGCUUUUUCAUAAGAUCUUAUCAAUAUAUGACACCCAGGGUGCAUAGGAUCUUUUGAUAAAGUACGCUUGAUUUCAUUGAGUUAUUAUUGAAUGUAGUUAUUUCGUGAUAAAUAACUUUGCCAUUAUACUCAAAUAUAUUAAAUAAUCCGAUUAACUCCGAUCGUUAAAUUUUAAUUGCUUUCAAUCAUCUGUUUGCGUCCCUCGCCGACCAUAAACAGAGUAAUAUCAGUCGAAGCAUGCAGCCAUUUUUUUAUUCAUUUUCAUUUUGCAAUCCCUUUUUUAAUUACCCAACAUAUUGGAAUGGUUGCCACUGUGCAGUUAAACUGAACGCGUUCGAGCCUGUCGUUUUAAACUUGUUUUAAAAUCAUUUCAAAAAGUCGUUAAAAGUUCCCUCCUAUAAAAUCCAUUUUGUAUUUGUUACUUGCUACAAGCUCCUUUUACUAUUAUCGUUCCCAUAGAAAUGUCGCUCUACUCUAGCCAACAUUGUUGCAGUUUUUUGUCAUUUUUACGUCCGAUUUUUUUCAAACGAUUUUUUUACGAUUUUGUUUCAACCAAACUACUACUACUAACGCUACAUCAUACAAUAUAAAAACCGUACUGACAUUCAGUGAUAAAAGUAAAACGUCAACACAUUUACACACACAUAAAAAAAAAAUAUCCACUCGUUACUUUGCCAAACCGCAUUCGUAUAUUGAGCUUGUCUGUUACAUCAAACGGAACCAUCAACCUUGAAGUAAAGUAUGUUCUAAGCCAGUUUGCAAAAGUGUUCACUAGGACAGGUAGAGUUUGACGAGAGUGUAGAAUAGAUCAGUUCUGUAAUUAAUGGUUUUGCUAUACAACAUCAACUAAAUGUUCCCCCAAACAAAAGCUUCAUUAGUGUUACAAACUAGUUUACAUACAACAUAACGCCCUAGAUAUAGAAUAAAAAGUAUAUCGAGUCGUUCGAGUUUUACUGAAAAUAUGUACAACUGUUCUGUAGAGUUUUGGUAGAGAACAAACACAAACAUAUCAAAAGAAUAUACAUUCACUCGGAAAUAAAACACUAGAUCACAACCCGCUGGAGAGUGACACUCACAAUUAAUCCACCAAACACACACUCACACAAUCAACUAGAGUUCACAGAUAGGCCAACAGCCAUUUAUAAAUCAAGGCUAAACAACAGCCUACAAACCAACUAAAUACAAAACAAAGCCCCAAUUAGCAAGUCAGUCUGACUUGUUAUAACCUCUUAGACGUCUCUAGAACGUUUCGGCUGGGAUUCCCGCUCCCCAGGUGGCCUAAAACGUGUCGUUUAAUUAAUUGUAGCACAACACACACCCACACACACCACCACCACCUACCAACACCAUCACAACCCCCCUCAGAGUUCUCCCAGAGUAUACAGUCGCGCGAGUCCAUUACGUAUAUGCUAAUUCCAUCAUCAAGAACAACAUCAAGAAAGAAAAGUACCGAAACAAGAACAAACCAAAUCAAAAAAAAAGAGAGGGCGAGCAAGAAUGAGCGCGCGUGUGAAGAGAAAACACAUUAAUCUUCGGGCCAAAAAAAACAUCCACCAUCACACCACUCCAACAACCCGUAACAAUAGAAGCCCAUUUGGAUGACCUUCGGAAGAGAGCGCGAGAGCACACAAAUAUACCUACGCGUCGUCAACAGCGGUUGUCACCGGGGUGGAAUCGCAUCGACCUCAUAACUCUCAACUCAACUCAACUCGUUCUCAAAUCGUUCAACGGAAAUAAACCAUAAAGUCAAGUCAAAUCAACACAUAAGUUUCACACACUACUACGACCAACUACCUCUACUACAACCACCACCAACUACUACGAAUUCGCCGACACGUUGUUGUUGAUCUUACUCAAUUGAAGUGUGCAUUUCUGGUGUUUUUAAUUAUUUACUGAAAAAAUGCAAUAAAUUAAUAUCAAAACCUGCCAAAGCCUGAAACCUCAGCCGAAUGAAGUAAAGCGAAAGUCGACAGCGUAGAAAAUACAUGCUAGGUUAGGGAUAUCAAACAAGUGCACUGAAACGAAAAGUUAACCUCAAAAGGUUCGUGUUCCUCUUUUAAACCGAAAGACUUUUGCCGAAUAAAUAAAAUGAAAAAAA